rnacentral:rRNA from 1 species
AUGGAGGGCGACGAGGCGGCGAGGCGGGGGAGGGAGGCGCUGAGCGGGGGCCACCUCUGCCACGUCUGCGGGCACCAGUACCCCAACCCCAACCCCAGCGCCAAGCUCCGCCGCUCCCACCGCAGGAAUUCCUGCCGCAAGGUCACGCCGGCCGCCGAGGAGGAGGACGCCGGGCCGCGCAAUGCGGGCGAGGGCCGCUUCGUGCUUGGUGCUGGUGGAGGACCAGGAGACGGGGAGGAGCCUGGGAAUGGCGCGGCGAGCGGAGGCUCUGCGUCGCCCGGAUCUGCGAACGGAGGCGUCGAAUCGGCGGAGGACAAGGAGAACGGAGAACAUGCUUCUCCUAAUGCUGCUAGAAUUCAAGCCAUCAGCAGUGACUGCACUGAAACUGGCCUGAUUCCCAAUAAUUCUUCUGAAACUGCAUAUGAAGGCAAUGGAACCGAUUCAGAAAGGCCUUGCACCAAUGGAAUUCAACAUAGAGUGCCUGAAAGUUUCACUGAAAUUGGACCGCUUGCAGUUGCACACCCAACUGAGCGAGAAGAUUGUCUUGAGGAGUACCAGGAUGCAUCUUCUUUUCUUCAUCAGUCAGAUCCGGAAGAUGGUGCAGCAAUAGCACGUGAGUCAGAUGUUCCUAUGGAAAUCAAGAAUCUGGAUAAAGGCUCAGUGGGUUCAAGUGUGGCUGCAGAUGUAAUCUCUCUUGAAAGAUAUGACACAUGCAAAUAUCAGUUUUCAAGAGAAUCAAGCAUGACUGAUUUUCCUGCUGGAUCCGAGGUUGAAAAUGAAGCUGAAUAUUAUGCGGAGAAUAUAACUCCUGGAUUGGUUGGGCGUGAAGAUGGCUUAAACCUCCAGAGUACAGAUGAAUGCUCAGCAGACAUUGACAGCAACAAUACAGAUGUUGUGGUUGACAGCAAAUCUGAUAAAACAUCUGGUAGUUGCGAGUUUCUUGGUGAUUUGAACCCCUCAUCUCUUCAGAAGUGCUAUCCACUUAUGUCUGAUCCAGAAUCCCAAUCUGCAUGUUCCAGGAAGGUGGACAACUUAUUUAAAGAUGGUAUGGAAGUUCUGGAUAGCACGUCUGAAGUAUCACCAAGAGAAGAAAUAGUAGAAUCAUAUCCUGUUGGAUCUGAAACAAUAUCUAAUUCUGGAGAUGAGUUGAAGCUAAUUCAUACUUCAAAUACAUCAACUGAUUGCUCCACAGAGCGCUCUUCACAGAACUUGUCUGCUCAAGAUACUUCAGGUGUUCAGCUGCCAGUUGAUAACUCUUGCCUGGUAAAUUCAGUAUGCUCUGUACCUGGUUAUCAGAAUGAUCUUGCUGUUACUAAUGAUGACGGCAUGCUCAAGUCCACUGCUGAAGAUAACUGCACUAAAGGCAUUUUAGUAAAGGACAGUGCGUUGGAUUCUUCCUGUGAGGCGAGGCCUGAACAACAAGAGGAAAUCUGCAACAGGGAGAGUGCCACUGAGGUUCCUACAAAUUACCAAGUGUCUACAAGUCAGGAGCAUGUCACAUUACUAAUGGAUCAAGUGAUUUCUACCAAGAAUCCAUUCAAUAUAGAUGACACCAGGAGUGAUGACUUAUUUGAGCUUGCUUCUGGUUACCGUUUAGAGGCACCAAAUGUUUUUGAAUCAGAGCAGGAAGUUGACUCUACAUCUAAGACAGUUUCCAACCAAACCAGCGUUGCUGAUGGGAAACACUGUCCGACCUCAGAUGAUCGCAUGGUAGCUGUGUCAUGUAAAAAUGGAUAUGCAGUUGAUGCAGAAGAUGCGUCGGUCAGUAGCAGUGCAGAUCCUGCGAAGAACGUUUUCUUGCAUGAUGCCUCGGUGAACCAUGACAAGAAGGAAGGUGAAUCACAUACAAAUGGCAUCAUCGAUGCGCCAUCUCAAGUAUUUCCGACAGAAUUUAGCACAAUGCCCGUCUCUCAGGAGAUCAAUGCAGUCAGCACACAUGUUGAAGAAAAGACUGACACGGAAGACACCAAAGCAAAAGAUAAGACUCCGGUAGAGAAUAUAGAUGACUCAGAAGAAAAGAAACAGACUCAAGAUGCUAGUGCAAAGGAGAUGACUGCAGUACUGCACUCAGAUAAUGUUGAAGAGGAUAAACUGGCUGAGGAUACUGGUUCAAAGGAAGUGACAGCAGUACAAAGCACAGAAAAUAUUCAUGAAAAGGAUCAGACUGAAGACGGUCGUGCAAAGAAGAUGGAUGGAGAAUUUAACACAGCUGAUGUUGGCAACAGGCAGACUGAUGUCGCCAGCAAGGAAGAGAAUAAAACAGAUGAAGUGCAACAGGCAGAUAAUGCUGUAGAAAAGAAGCAGGCUCCAGAAACUACUGCAAAGCAGACGAACGUGGUGCAAAGCAGGGAUCAUGCUGAAGAGCGGAAGCAGGCUGAAGAAACAGUCGGUCUGGAGGGAAACAAGCAGAAUGGAGAGAUCGCCGCCGUUGGCUCGAGGCUGAAUUCAGCAAGGAUCAGCGUCCCCUUGAAGGUCCUCCUCGCCGAGGCGAGCCUGGAGGGCAAAGAGAAGAAACCCAGCACCAAGGAGCGGGUCCUGUCAUUCACGCGGCGAGGAGCGUCGAAGGACGACGCCUCAUCGGCGAAGCCAGGGGCAGCCGGUUCGGACGACCAGUACUGGAACUCCCCCGCGAAGAUGCCCCAUGACAACAACAACGUCGACAAGAGAUCCAAAGUGAGGAAGCAGCCGUGGAUGCCCUUCAUCUGCUGCCACUCCGUGCACUGA